rnacentral:rRNA from 1 species
ACUCCUACGGGAGGCAGCAGUGGGGAAUCUUGGACAAUGGGGGCAACCCUGAUCCAGCCAUGCUGCGUGAGUGAUGAAGGCCUUAGGGUCGUAAAGCUCUUUCGCCUGUGAUGAUAAUGACAGUAGCAGGUAAAGAAACCCGGCUAACUCCGUGCCAGCAGCCGCGGUAAUACGGAGGGGGUUAGCGUUGUUCGGAAUUACUGGGGCGUAAAGCGCGCGUAGGCGGAUUAGUCAGUUAGAGGUGAAAUCCCAGGGGCUCAACCCUGGAACUGCCUUUAAUACUGCUAGUCUUGAGUUCGAGAGAGGUGAGUGGAAUUCCGAGUGUAGAGGUGAAAUUCGUAGAUAUUCGGAGGAACACCAGUGGCGAAGGCGGCUCACUGGCUCGAUACUGACGCUGAGGUGCGAAAGUGUGGGGAGCAAACAGGAUUAGAUACCCUGGUAGGAAAGCG